rnacentral:lncRNA from 1 species
GAGCGCGCGCGGCGCAGAGCGGACGCGCCUCCCUGCCUAGGUGCAGGCCGGGUGCGCGGCACAGCGGGGAGGCGAGCGCGGCGGAGUAAGGCAGAAGUGGUGGCCAUUGCCUUGAAGCCCCUGAACUGGAGGAUCACCCCUGCACUUGGUCCUACCCUCCAUCGCAGCUGCCGCCCCCCUUCUCCUGUCACCACCUCCACCUCCUGGCGUCCACCUCUCCUGCUCCUGCCCGGGU